AAGUAGCUCUGCUUCGGGAGAGUAUUAUAGACCCUGGGGGAUGCAGCCUGCGGGAUCGAGGAUUGCAGCAAAUGCCUUUGGCUUGUCGCCUGAUCUCUGGAUGUUACCUCGCUUGUGACAACAUUCUUGCCACCUGUGGGUACUAAUGCCCAUUAGGUUAGAGCGAUCAAAAAUUUUGCUAAGGAUGCUGACGUAAUGGCUUUAAACGACCCGUCUUGAAACACGGCUGUCUCUUAUACACAUCUCCGAGCCC
rnacentral:rRNA from 1 species